rnacentral:rRNA from 1 species
UACGUAGGGGGCUAGCGUUGUCCGGAAUCAUUGGGCGUAAAGCGCGUGUAGGCGGCCCCGGUAAGUCCGCUGUGAAAGUCGGGGGGCUCAACCCUCGGAUGCCGGUGGAUACUGUCGGGCUCGAGUCCGGAAGAGGCGAGUGGAAUUCCCGGUGUAGCGGUGAAAUGCGCAGAUAUCGGGAGGAACACCAAUGGCGAAGGCAGCUCGCUGGGACGUGACUGACGCUGAGACGCGAAAGCGUGGGGAGCAAACAGG